AGAACGAACGCUGGCGGCAGGCUUAACACAUGCAAGUCGAACGCCCCGCAAGGGGAGUGGCAGACGGGUGAGUAACGCGUGGGAAUCUACCCAAUUCUUCGGAACAACUGAGGGAAACUUCAGCUAAUACCGGAUGUGCCCUUCGGGGGAAAGAUUUAUCGGAAUUGGAUGAGCCCGCGUUGGAUUAGCUAGUUGGUGGGGUAAAGGCCUACCAAGGCGACGAUCCAUAGCUGGUCUGAGAGGAUGAUCAGCCACACUGGGACUGAGACACGGCCCAGACUCCUACGGGAGGCAGCAGUGGGGAAUAUUGGACAAUGGGCGCAAGCCUGAUCCAGCCAUGCCGCGUGAGUGAUGAAGGUCUUAGGAUUGUAAAGCUCUUUCACCGGUGAAGAUAAUGACGGUAACCGGAGAAGAAGCCCCGGCUAACUUCGUGCCAGCAGCCGC
rnacentral:rRNA from 1 species